rnacentral:lncRNA from 1 species
GAAAGGAAAGAGGGCGGCGGGAGGCCUGCUGGAUGGGAUAGUUCUGGGACUGCCAAGACAGAGCCUCGAUUCCUGCCCUUAAGGAGCUCAACAUCUGGUUAAGGACCACAGACAAGGAAAGUAGAAUGAAGAAACUGAGACCCAGAGAGUUUAUGAAAUUGGUGAUUUGCCCAAGGUCAUGUAACAAGUAAUCGUUAUAUACCACUGGAAGAGGCUAUAAGAUCCCUCAGCACAGAACAAGACCGGCUUAGGGAUUAAUAGGACAACCUCUGCUAGUACUAGAACUGCAUCUAGUAAUGCAGUUCUUUUAUUUUGUUUUUAAAAUGUAGUGCCUUUUCUGGUGAUGACAACAAAAAGCAAUGAAGACAAUAACGAUGUUACAGAAGAAAAAAGGGAUUGAAUAUAACCAAAUGUUCAGCUAUAAUCACCAUAUGUGAAAAAACUCUCAAUAUUUGAACAUUUCAUAUUCAUAGCGAACUAAAUUAGAGGGUGAUUAUUCAUAUAAUGGAAUUAUUUGCUUUAUAGAAGGAUUCACUAAAUUAUCCUCUUCUGUGAUGAGCUUUCCCCCAUUCAUUUAAAACAGGAAUUAAUUUAUAACAAUGUGAUGUAUAUAUAGCUCCCCCAGAACACAUCUAUCGCACAGCAUGAAGCCAAAUCAAGUUGUAAAAUGAUUUUGAUUACUGGAUAAUGAUAGUAGGGAAUAUUUGCUCACUUCAGCAUUUGAGGAUUCCAACUACAAAAGGAUUUGCAGAUAUCAAGCCACUAUCCUUAAUCUUGAUGAAAUUACGAAGGACCAGAGAAAUGCCAAAGGAUGGGUAGAAUAGGUGAUUAAACAAGUGAUUUGCAAGCACCCACCCAAAGAAGGAAUCACUUGAAGACUCCUUAACAAGACAGAAAUAAUAAGCUGUGCCAAACUGCCAUCUUUUCUUGUAUAGCUAAUGCUAAUAGAGAACAAGAAGAAGAGAGGGCCAAGGAUUUGGCACCCAUUUGGCAGCCUCUAUUGACCUGUUCCUGAAAAACAGAAGAAACGUCAAUGAACGAGAACACGUGACUAGGUGAGUGGUUACUUCUGGCUUUUUGAUUAAGAUGACUUAACUUGUAUGUUGGUAGAUUUCUGUCCAGGGAAUCAGCAUUCAGCAGGCACAUUCCCACCAUAUCAGUUAGGAACUGCAUUCAGCUGCAGAGAUCCACAUUACAGUGGCUCAGAAAACAAAAGAGAUUUUCUCUCACAUGAAAAAAAAAGUUGGGAGUUUCUGUCAUGGCUCAGUGGAAACGAAUCUGACUAGCAUCCACGAGGACACAGGUUCAAUCCCUGGCCUCACUCAGUGGGUUAAGGGUCCGGUAUUGCCAUGAGCUGUGGUGUAGGUUGCAGAUGUGGCUCCCAUCCCACAUUGCUGUGGCUGUGGUGUAGGCCAGCGGCUAUAGCUCCGAUUAGACUUCUAACCUGGGAACCUCCAUAUGCCUCGGGUGCAGCCCUAGAAAGACCAAAAAAAAAAAAAAAAAAAAAAAAAAAAAGU